rnacentral:rRNA from 1 species
GACGAACGCUGGCGGCGUGCUUAACACAUGCAAGUCGAACGAAGAGCGACGGAAGCUUGCUUCUAUCACUCUUAGUGGCGAACGGGUGAGUAACGCGUAAUCAACCUGCCCUUCAGAGGGGGACAACAGUUGGAAACGACUGCUAAUACCGCAUACGAUCUAACCUCGGCAUCGAGGAUAGAUGAAAGGUGGCCUCUACAUGUAAGCUAUCACUGAAGGAGGGGAUUGCGUCUGAUUAGCUAGUUGGAGGGGUAACGGCCCACCAAGGCGAUGAUCAGUAGCCGGUCUGAGAGGAUGAACGGCCACAUUGGGACUGAGACACGGCCCAGACUCCUACGGGAGGCAGCAGUGGGGAAUCUUCCGCAAUGGACGAAAGUCUGACGGAGCAACGCCGCGUGAGUGAUGACGGCCUUCGGGUUGUAAAGCUCUGUUAAUCGGGACGAAAGGCCUUCUUGCGAAUAGUGAGAAGGAUUGACGGUACCGGAAGAGAAAGCCACGGCUAACUACGUG